GUUCCCACGCGUUAAGUUGCAUUCAGCGCUGGCGACUUGACGGAUUCUUUGUCCUUGCAAAAGUCUUUGAAAGUGGCUGAAACAAAAAGCAAACAGGACCUCUGCAGGACUUUGACGGCUACACGACUGUGUACUCUGUGUUAUUGUGUAAUCUCUCACUAUGGCUGCUGCAAAUCCUAUUUGAGUGAUGGAUCCAGUUCUGGGAGCUCGCUGCGCCUGUGAACGCUCACCGACCGUCUUCUGCCCCCCCCUGAGAGACACCCCACGCCUCUUCACGCGGGCCGUUGCCAUGGCGCCCUGAUGACGCUCUGAGGCUGGAUGGGGAGAGUUGAGAGGGAGGGGUGGAGAGAAGAGGAAGACGGUAGCUGCACCAAAGAUUGAGUGGGUUUGAGGCGAUGACUCACACUGUUUAUAAAAAAAA
rnacentral:lncRNA from 1 species